rnacentral:rRNA from 1 species
UACGUAGGGUGCAAGCGUUAAUCGGAAUUACUGGGCGUAAAGCGUGCGCAGGCGGUUGGGCAAGACAGAUGUGAAAUCCCCGGGCUUAACCUGGGAACUGCAUUUGUGACUGCACGGCUGGAGUGCGGCAGAGGGGGAUGGAAUUCCGCGUGUAGCAGUGAAAUGCGUAGAUAUGCGGAGGAACACCGAUGGCGAAGGCAAUCCCCUGGGCCUGCACUGACGCUCAUGCACGAAAGCGUGGGGAGCAAACAGG